AAUCCACUUAACUACACCAACCAGGGCUAGACAUUCUUUAUAUAUUUUGAAAAUUAACUUCAUCAGACUAUCAUUGGCUAAUGUCCCAUACAGUAGGUUCCCUUUUCAUUUUGUUGGUUUCUUUAGCAGUGCAGAAGCUUUUUAGUUUGAUGUAGUUCCAUUUGUUUAUUUUUUCCUAUUUCACCUUGCCCUAGAUUUUUUGGCAAAAUUAUCACUACAAGAGAUGUCUGAGCUUUUACUGCUAGUUUUCUGCUAGGAUUUUCAUGGUUUUGAGACUUGCAUUUAAGUGUUUUAUCUACUUUUGAGUUUAUUCUUGUGUGGAGUGAUCUGGUAGUCUAGUAUCAUUCUUUUGCACGUACCUGUCCAGUUUUCCCAACAUCAUUUAUUGAAGAGAACUUUAUUCCAUUUUAUGUUCUUUCCCCUGUAGUUUCCUUUACAAAUCUUAUAUUCUUAAUUUCUGUAUGACCCUUAGAAAUGUUGUGUCAUUUCCCUCCAAUCAUCUUAGAUCUUUAUUAAAACUGAGUGUUCCAAAAUACUUUUAUCCCCUUUAUUCUUCUCAUCCAGAAACAGUCACUUAUGCUAGACACUUGUGAUAGUGUCAGUCCCACCUGUGCCCUGCCCUCAGCCUCGCACUCUGGCCAGGAAGACAUACAAACUCAGGAAAGCACUACAGGUGUCAGGGUUCACAAUACGGGAGCUCGUUCUUCCCCGAGGGCUCAUCAGAGCUAAAUGCUUGUCAGAAAGGCAAGUACGUAAGAAAAUGCCAGAUGAAGAACAAAUGGAACGUUAGCAGGUUCCAGGAUCCCCAUGGUUUGCUGUGAUCAGAUCAAAUAGUGUGGGGUGGGACGCAGGGAGAGAAGGAACUGCAAAGGGGCCUCUGGAGGAACUUUUGAAAGAUCUCCUUCAAUGUUGUGGAUAGUACAAAGUAAAGCUAGCAAAGUGGUGACUUUGGGAUACCACUUAAUACUCCAGGCUACAGACUUAAAAGAAUUCCAGCUGCAGUACAGUCAGAGGAGAGGGGAAAGGAAAACAGGAUAAAUGUCCAGAAGUUAGUAAUGCUGUGCUGCCAUUUCAUCUGGUAUUUUUCUAAAUUGGGGGGGUGGGGGGGGGUGUUUCUUUCUAGCUCUUUUUACGGAAGACCAUUUUCUGCAUCGUUAAAUAUUUGAGACCAUGAAAUAAAAAAUUCUAGCUGCAGUGCAGCCAGAGGAGAGAAGUUAGAGCAGGCAAGAUUGGGGUUUGCAUGAAGAAAGUUAAGACGGAUGUAAAGAUUGAGUAGCAGGUCCAACCCUGCUGGAAGAGUAAUUCUCUGGCCCAUAGAGGGCUCUGGCCAAUGAAAUCUGAGUGGGAGAGAGGUGUCAUUUUGGAGUAGAAUCUUUAUGAGCCAUUGAGUGUUUUUGCCAAGUCACCAUGUCUCCAAUACCGGGAGGCCAGCCUGCCAGAGCUCACCAUGCACUGCCAUGGAAACAAGUAAGAAACAAACCCUUACUGCCUUCACCUGCCCUGUGGAGACAACGCUUCCCCUGGAAGAGCACUGCCCUGUGAGUGUCUUUCACUUGCCGACUGGUCUUCCUGCCUGGAGAAGGGCACCGCUGAUACAAGUGACCGGAAAGGGCUUGUGUACAUUUCCACGGGGACAGGGCCACUACCAAGAGUUGGCACAGGGAAGAGAUGGACUCUGGAGUCAGAAUCCUGGCUUUCCUACUUGUUACCUGUGACCUGUGUUUCCAUCCUUCACUGAAGUAGGAAUGAUCCCCACCUCAGUGGGUUAAUGCCAAAUGAGAAAAUAGUUGUAAAGAGCCUGGGACGGUGCCACCCAGGCCAUGCCUCAGACAGAACACAUUGAAGAGCAUCUCCACUUCACCCUCAGCAAAGUGGCUUU